rnacentral:misc_RNA from 1 species
AGGAGGUUGGUUAUGCGAUUCGAUUUGAGGACUGCACGGGGCCUGAGACUGUCAUCAAGUACAUGACCGAAGGUAUGCUUUUGAUGGAAAUUCUCGUGGAUGACAACCUCUUGCAGUACUCGGUGAUUAUGCUCGAUGAAGCCCAUGAGAGGACCAUUUAUACUGAUGUUCUGUUUGGAUUGCUGAAGCAGCUCGUGAAGCGG